rnacentral:rRNA from 1 species
AUUGAACGCUGGCGGCAGGCCAAGCACAUGCAAGUCGAGCGGGGUUUUCGGACCUAGCGGCGGACGGGUGAGUAAUGCGUAGGAAGCUGCCCGAUAGAGGGGGAUACCAGUUGGAAACGACUGUUAAUACCGCAUAAUGUCUACGGACCAAAGUGUGGGACCUUCGGGCCACAUGCUAUCGGAUGCGCCUACGUGGGAUUAGCUAGUUGGUGAGGUAAUGGCUCACCAAGGCGACGAUCUCUAGCUGGUUUGAGAGGAUGAUCAGCCACACUGGAACUGAGACACGGUCCAGACUCCUACGGGAGGCAACAGUGGGGAAUAUAGGACAAUGGGCGCAAGCCUGAUCCAGCCAUGCCGCGUGUGUGAAGAAGGCCUUCGGGUUGUAAAGCACUUUCAGCGAGGAGGAAGGGGUGUGUGUUAAUAGUACACACCUUUGACGUUACUCGCAGAAGAAGCACCGGCUAACUCUGUGCCAGCCGCCGCGGUAAGAC